UACGGGGGGGGCAAGCGUUGUUCGGAAUUACUGGGCGUAAAGGGCGCGUAGGCGGCCAGGCAAGUAGGUGGUGAAAUCCCCGGGCUUAACUCGGGGUCGGCCAUCUAAACUGCCGGGCUGGAGUGUGGGAGAGGGAAGUGGAAUUCCAGGUGUAGCGGUGAAAUGCGUAGAUAUCUGGAGGAACACCGGUGGCGAAGGCGGCUUCCUGGACCACAACUGACGCUGAGGCGCGAAAGCUAGGGGAG
rnacentral:rRNA from 1 species